AUUGAACGCUGGCGGCAUGCCUUACACAUGCAAGUCGAACGGCAGCACGGGAGCAAUCCUGGUGGCGAGUGGCGAACGGGUGAGUAAUAUAUCGGAACGUGCCCAGUCGUGGGGGAUAACGUAGCGAAAGCUACGCUAAUACCGCAUACGAUCUAUGGAUGAAAGCGGGGGAUCGCAAGACCUCGCGCGAUUGGAGCGGCCGAUAUCAGAUUAGGUAGUUGGUGAGGUAAAGGCUCACCAAGCCGACGAUCUGUAGCUGGUCUGAGAGGACGACCAGCCACACUGGGACUGAGACACGGCCCAGACUCCUACGGGAGGCAGCAGUGGGGAAUUUUGGACAAUGGGCGCAAGCCUGAUCCAGCAAUGCCGCGUGCAGGAUGAAGGCCUUCGGGUUGUAAACUGCUUUUGUACGGAACGAAACGGCGAGCUCUAAUACAGUUUGCUAAUGACGGUACCGUAAGAAUAAGCACCGGCUAACUACGUGCCAGCCGCCGCUGUAA
rnacentral:rRNA from 1 species